GGGAAGUGCAUGCAGCUCGUGCUCUGCUGACCUGUGUCUCGGUGACCCAAGGUUUCCAGCUUGCACAAGAAAUGCCUGGGGCUUGAUUGCAAAAGGCAUUUCAUUUCUAACAGGCAGGUGAAUUUGGUGUUUAACCUCCAGUGAGAUCUAACUAGCCAGCCUAAAUACUUUUACAUCCCUCGCUUGGUGCCUAUCUAUAUCUUUAGGUAGAGAGAUACGGGGGGAAAUGUGGCUUUUAAUAGCUUGUGAGUCAGAGUGAGGCAUGUCUGCACUGAGGGCGAGCAGCUGAACUGUUGCAGGGUGUGGACAGACCCAGGGACUGCUGAAGGCUCCCACGCCAUGAACCAUCCAGCCAGGACCUGGCAGGGCUCAGCCUGGGCUAAUCUGCUCUCCAGCUGGUUUUUGAGUCAUGAGCUGGUUGCAAUUAUUUUGCCUCUGUAAUUCCAUCUUCCUUGCGCUCUUCCUGGCUUCAGAGCCACUGGAGGAUGGUCACCUGUGUGGAGCUGUGCAUGAAAAUCGGAUCCCAGCUGCAGGCAAGGGAACACUGGAAGAAGACUGCAAGGAGUAGUCGUAUCACAGCUGCAGUUGUGGUUAUUAUUCAUCAUCUUGCUACAUACAGCACUCAGCUUGUGCUGAGCAGGGAGAGCUGUGAUCCCCGUUAUUAUCAAUACCCAGUGCUGUACCAGUGCCUCAGCAAAGGUGGGGCCUGGUCCUGACACUUCUUUGCAACUGCCUCCGGAGCCAGUCCCGCUUUGUACUGCUGUGCGUCCUUAGAAAAUAGGCUGCCAGGUGCUGAACACCCACAGUUUGGAGUGAUCACUCAUGGAUGUAUGUCUCUGAUGGUCUCAGAGAGUGUGGGCUGAACUCCAUCCUCUUUCAUCUGGGUCCUGGAGGCAUUCUCAGUCCUGCUCCCUCCACCUCUGCACCUGAUGUCCUUGCCAAGCACAUUGGGAAGAAGCUCCAUCCUGGAGCACAACAGCAUACACCCCGAAGGGGCACAUGUAGCCUGGAGCUGCUGCUUGUCCAACAUGGGGACAUCAAGUGUCCUUGGAACGGCCCAAGCAUCUCAAGUGUGUUUGUUGGAGCUCUCAACUCUGCUCUGAGCCAGUCCUAUGGCCUACAUGGGAGUUUAGUGGUUGACAAGAGUUUCAGUCUGGUGUAGCACUGGAAACAAAAUAAGCAGCAUUACACAGACACCUCCUGGCUUGGAUAAUUUAAUCUGCUCGGCCCUUUACAAAAGGCUACAAUCAACCUUCAAUUGUGUAUCUGGGAAAUAAUGCACAUGCAAUGCUCCAGAGACCAACCCAGAGCAACUCUGCAGAGAUGCAGAAAUGCAAGCGCUGACCACUCUGAAAAACAUCACUUGUAAUUUAUUUCUAUAACAAACACAUGCUGCGUUGCACAACAAUUUCUGGAUGCCCAAGCUGGACAACUACAGUCUAAAUGUUGUGGGAUAAAAUAAAACAUAAAAAUCUUGUCUGUGUUCCCUUUGAAGUCUGCACUGCCAGGUCGUUGGACUGGCACACCUCAAUAAAGAGCUUAUCUCUUUAGAGAUAAAGUUUCAGUUUUAUCCUCUUCUGUUGAAUGUAUGCAUUAUUGUACUUCUCUUUUUGAAAGGCUGUGGGCAACUUGGAGAGUGCAG
ensembl:lncRNA